rnacentral:lncRNA from 1 species
CAAAAGAGCAACCUAAAUUCUGGAAUGCAAAUACUACCGUGCCACCUUAACCAAGACAUAACAAACUUGAAACCAGUCAUGACACCUAUGAUUCAUAGACUUCUUACUUUGGAACAUAUUACAAUAAAGAAUACUAGUCUGCACUCAUUUCUUACCAAAAAAAAUGAAACAUUACAUCCCUACCCCAUCUGGCAGAUUUUCACUUUUUUUCAUUUUACCAUUUUUACUUAAGGAGUGAACAAAACCCA